rnacentral:rRNA from 1 species
GAUGAACGCUGGCGGCGUGCCUAAUACAUGCCAGUCGAGCGAACGGACGAGAAGCUUGCUUUUCUGAUGUUAGCGGCGGACGGGUGAGUAACACGUGGAUAACCUACCUAUAAGACUGGGAUAACUUCGGGAAACCGGAGCUAAUAUCGGAUAAUAUUUUGAACCGCAUGGUUCAAAAGUGAAAGACGGUCUUGCUGUCACUUAUAGAUGGAUCCGCGCUGCAUUAGCUAGUUGGUAAGGUAACGGCUUACCAAGGCAACGAUGCAUAGCCGACCUGAGAGGGUGAUCGGCCACACUGGAACUGAGACACGGUCCAGACUCCUACGGGAGGCAGCAGUAGGGAAUCUUCCGCAAUGGGCGAAAGCCUGACGGAGCAACGCCGCGUGAGUGAUGAAGGUCUUCGGAUCGUAAAACUCUGUUAUUAGGGAAGAACAUAUGUGUAAGUAACUGUGCACAUCUUGACGGUACCUAAUCAGAAAGCCACGGCUAACUACGUG